rnacentral:rRNA from 1 species
CCUACGGGCGGCAGCAGUGAGGAAUAUUGGUCAAUGGGCUUACGCCUGAACCAGCCAAGUCGCGUGAGGGAAGACUGCCCUAUGGGUUGUAAACCUCUUUUGUCAGGGAGCAACGCCGGCUACGUGUAGCCGGACUGAGAGUACCUGAAGAAAAAGCAUCGGCUAACUCCGUGCCAGCAGCCGCGGUAAUACGGAGGAUGCGGGCGUUAUCCGGAUUGAUUGGGUUUAAAGGGUGCGUAGGCGGAAUGCCAAGUCAGCGGUAAAAUCGCGGGGCUCAACCUCGCUCCGCCGUUGAAACUGGCGUUCUUGAGUGGGGGAGAAGUAUGCGGAAUGCGGGGUGUAGCGGUGAAAUGCAUAGAUAUCACGAAGAACUCCGAUUGCGAAGGCAGCAUACCGGCGCCCAACUGACGCUGAAGCACGAAAGCGUGGGUAUCGAACAGGAUUAGAUACCCGUGUAGUC